rnacentral:lncRNA from 1 species
CUUCCCUUUCCUUCUCAUCAUGUUUCUCCUUUAACUGACUCAACUCAUCUACAAGUUCUUGAAUUCUUCUGUGAGAAAGCUGAACCUCAUCAGAAGCCUGUGAAAUUGUCAAUUUCAAUGAUUCAGUUUCUUCCUCACUGACUCUCAGGUUGUUGUUGACCUUUGUCAUUUCCUCAUCUGCAUGCUCUAACUGCUGUUUUAGAAUGGAAAUUUCCCCUGUCAUAACUUGUAAUUCUUUCUCAAGCAAGAAUUUCUCAUCCUUCAGUUGAUCAACUGUCGUUCUCAGGUCAUCCGUAAUCUUCUUUUCCUCGACAAUCUGCUGGAUAGCUGUGUCCUUCUCCAGUGUCAAACUAUCUUUUUCUGUCUUCAAGUCCUCCAAUCUUUGACUCAGCUCAGCUUCUGUCUUACCAGCAACAUUCAGUUGAUUUUUUAGUUCAGCAUUCUCAUCCAAAAGUUUUGAUCUUUGAGUACUCGAUGCUUCAGCAUCGGUUUUCAAAUCCAUGUUUAUUUUGUCUACUUCUUCUAUUUUGCUCAAUGCUGCAACAUGUUCCUCCUUUAACUGACUCAAUUCGUCUACAAGUUCUUGAAUUCUUCUGUGAGAAAGCUGGACCUCAUCAGAAGCCUGUGAAAGUUUCAAUUUCAAUGAUUCAUUUUCUUCCUGAGUUUCUCUCAGGUUGUUGUUGACCUUUGUCAUUUCCUCAUCUGCAUGCUCUAACUGCUGUUUUAGAAUGAAAAUUUCCCCUGUCACGACUUGUAAUUCUUUCUCAAGAGAGAAUUUCGCAUCCUUCAGUUGAUCAACUGUGGUUCUCAGGUCAUCUGUAA